UCUGGCAAGUGGCAACGGUGACGGCAAUUCCUUCGCUGCCAAAUUCCAAUUCCGCCAAAAAAAAAAAAAAUACAAUUCGCAACGGUAAAGUGCAUCGCAUGUAAACGCUUCUCGCAAGGAAGGUGGCGAUUCCGAAUAGGACCGAAUUUAAGAGCGUUUUUUAGAGAGAGAGAGGCAAUGGAGGUGGAACUGAAGGAGAUGCUGAACGACCUGGAAUCGCUGAAGAGAUCGCUGGCCGAUCCUUCUCAUCAUGCUCCAACCGAUAAGCUACAAUUCCGCGUAGAACGCCUUACGAGCCUUGCAAAGUCUGGACCUGUCCGGCGUUCAAAAGUGAAGGAUAUGAGCGCUGAGGUGGUAGAUAGCAAUCCUUACAGUAGGCUUAUGGCACUUCAGAGGAUGGGUAUUGUGGAGAACUAUGAAAGAAUACGGGAUUUCUCAGUUGCCAUUGUUGGAGUAGGCGGUGUAGGAAGUGUAGCAGCUGAGAUGCUUACAAGAUGUGGUAUUGGUCGCCUUUUGUUGUAUGAUUAUGACAAAGUAGAGUUAGCUAACAUGAAUAGGUUAUUCUUUCGACCAGAACAGAGUGGCAUGACAAAAACAGAUGCUGCUGUACAGACCCUUUCAGACAUAAAUCCCGAUGUUAUACUCGAGAGCUAUACACUGAACAUCACAACAGUGCAAGGUUUUGAUACCUUUAUGUCUAGUUUAAAAAAUAAAUCGUUUCGCCCAAAUAAAGAAGGCACUGGAAUAGACCUUGUGUUAAGCUGUGUUGAUAAUUAUGAAGCAAGAAUGGCUGUUAAUCAGGCUUGCAAUGAACUGAAUCAGACAUGGAUGGAGUCUGGUGUGUCUGAGGAUGCCGUUUCAGGCCAUAUUCAGUUGCUGAUUCCCGGUGAAACUGCAUGUUUUGCAUGUGCACCACCUUUGGUUGUAGCAUCUGGAGUGGAUGAACGUACACUUAAGCGUGAAGGGGUUUGUGCUGCAUCUUUACCUACCACUAUGGGAGUUGUUGCUGGGCUUCUAGUCCAAAAUACACUAAAAUACUUGCUGAACUUCGGAAACGUCUCCCCAUACUUGGGAUAUAAUUCUCUUAAAGACUUCUUCCCAACUAUGGAAAUGAAGCCAAACCCUCAGUGUUCUAAUUUUGCUUGUCUGGAACGGCAGAAAGAAUACUUGCUUGUAAAGCCAGCUAGGGAUGCUGCAAUUAAAGCAAAGAUGGAAGCUGAAGCAUCAUCAGUUCCGGAAUCUCCGCUUCAUCUUGAUAAUGAAUGGGAAAUAAGUGUCGUUGAUGAUACCGAGCCGGAAAGUGCAGAGGCCAAAACUUCAGAUGCACUUCCAGAAGGUCUUGUUCGCGAGCUCCCCAGUGCAGAUGAGUUCCAAAAACCGCCAACUGAAGCUACAGAGGGUACUAUCGACGACCUAGAAGAUCUUCGAAAGCAACUUGAGGCCCUAAAUUCUUGAAUACAUCGUAGACGUUCUUUUUUGAUAUAGUCCAUCCCAAUUAUUGCUUUAGCAAUCGAAAUCGACCCGUAGCUUUCGUGGUUUUAAGGUUAUAGUCACACCCAGACUUCUCACACAUCAAAGACAUGGAGGUUUCUUAAUGUUACAUUAUCUGAAAUUUCCAGUUAAAUUCUCAAAUUUAUUCUCCUCGGACUUAUGAAUCAUGUAUGCCUGUUUGGUUUGUCCUUUUGGACUUUGUUGCCUAAAUUCUCAUAAACUUCUGUCCCAACGGCUGCAUACGACUUUAGAGAGUUUUUUUUGUCAAACGAUAGAUGUUGUUAGAUUAAAUGUUAGAUUAACUACUGAUGGGGUUCAACACCUUUUCAUCACUGUAAUAAAGGCCACUUGCAUUU